UACGGAGGGAGCUAGCGUUGUUCGGAUAUACUGGGCGUAAAGCGCACGUAGGCGGCGUCGUAAGUCAGGGGUGAAAUCCCGGAGCUCAACUCCGGAACUGUCCUUGAAACUGCAAUGCUAGAAUCUUGGAGAGGCGAGUGGAAUUCCGAGUGUAGAGGUGAAAUUCGUAGAUAUUCGGAAGAACACCAGUGGCGAAGGCGACUCGCUGGACAAGUAUUGACGCUGAGGUGCGAAAGCGUGGGGAGCAAACAGG
rnacentral:rRNA from 1 species